GAAAUACUCCCUUCGAUUCUUAUUAAUUGUCUUAAAUUUGGUCAAAUGUGAAUGUAUCUAUGCCUAAAAAGCGUCUAGAUACAUGUAAUAUUUUGACAAUUAAUACGUAUCGGAGGGAGUAAUUA
rnacentral:pre_miRNA from 1 species